GGGGAAAUCAUUAAUUGUCCACAUUAAUGCAGCUCUGAGUGUAAAGAAUUCUCCAUUAUGUGCAUCAUACACUCCUCUAAUCCCAUCCCACAAAGAUUUUAAAUCAUUAAUCAAAGGCUCCAAGUAGACGUCUAUAUCAUUUCCGGGUUGUUUAGGACCGGAAAUCAAUAAGGUUAACAUCAUGAACUUUCGUUUCAUGCACAGCC
rnacentral:lncRNA from 1 species